CCUACGGGGGGCAGUAGUGGGGAAUAUUGGACAAUGGGGGGAACCCUGAUCCAGCCAUGCCGCGUGUGUGAAGAAGGCCCUCGGGUUGUAAAGCACUUUCAGUGAGGAAGAACGCCUGGUGGUUAAUACCCAUCAGGAAAGACAUCACUCACAGAAGAAGCACCGGCUAACUCCGUGCCAGCAGCCGCGGUAAUACGGAGGGUGCGAGCGUUAAUCGGAAUUACUGGGCGUAAAGCGCGCGUAGGUGGCUUGAUAAGCCGGUUGUGAAAGCCCCGGGCUCAACCUGGGAACGGCAUCCGGAACUGUCAAGCUAGAGUGCAGGAGAGGAAGGUAGAAUUCCCGGUGUAGCGGUGAAAUGCGUAGAGAUCGGGAGGAAUACCAGUGGCGAAGGCGGCCUUCUGGACUGACACUGACACUGAGGUGCGAAAGCGUGGGUAGCAAACAGGAUUAGAUACCCUUGUAGUC
rnacentral:rRNA from 1 species